rnacentral:rRNA from 1 species
GCAGUCGAGCGCACCCUUCGGGGCGAGCGGCGGACGGGUUAGUAACGCGUGGGAACAUACCCUUUUCUAUGGAAUAGCCUUUGGAAACGAAGAGUAAUACCAUAUACGCCCUUCGGGGGAAAGAUUUAUCGGAGAAGGAUUGGCCCGCGUAAGAUUAGAUAGUUGGUGGGGUAAUGGCCUACCAAGUCUACGAUCUUUAGCUGGUUUUAGAGGAUGAUCAGCAACACUGGGACUGAGACACGGCCCAGACUCCUACGGGAGGCAGCAGUGGGGAAUCUUAGACAAUGGGCGCAAGCCUGAUCUAGCCAUGCCGCGUGUGUGAUGAAGGCCUUAGGGUCGUAAAGCACUUUCGCCAGAGAUGAUAAUGACAGUAUCUGGUAAAGAAACCCCGGCUAACUCCGUGCCAGCAGCCGCGGUAAUACGGAGGGGGUUAGCGUUGUUCGGAAUUACUGGGCGUAAAGCGCACGUAGGCGGAUCAGAAAGUAUAGGGUGAAAUCCCAGGGCUCAACCCUGGAACUGCCUUGUAAACUCCUGAUCUUGAGUUCGAGAGAGGUAAGUGGAAUUCCGAGUGUAGAGGUGAAAUUCGUAGAUAUUCGGAGGAACACCAGUGGCGAAGGCGGCUUACUG